rnacentral:lncRNA from 1 species
CUCUGCAGACUGGUGAGCAUCUUGGCACAAGUGAGAGACCAAGCAGAAGGUUUGCCAACUGUGGGCCAGAUGAGACCCAAAUGCACCCAUGUGUGCAACCACAGCGUGCCACCAAACAAGUGUGUUGGCACCCUUGGUACUUUAAAAUACCGUGAAGUUCUGGAAUUCUGGAGAGCUGUGGGACAAUUCGGGACACUGCAGCUCCUGGAAGGACAUUUCAGACAGCAUGAAGACUCCCAUGGGGAGAAAAUAAAAGACACUAUGGUGUGUGAAGGAGACCACUGA